rfam:Homo sapiens chromosome 8, GRCh38 reference primary assembly.
GCCAGGUGUGGUGGUGCACACCUGUAGUCCCAGCUACUCAGGAGGCUGAGGCAGAAGAAUUGCUUGAACCUGGGAGGUAGAGGUUGCAGUGAGCAGAGAUUAUGCCAUUGCACUCCAGCCUGGGUGACAGAGCAAGACUCUGUCUCAG